GGGACACGUGGUAUCCUGUCUGAAUAUGGGGGGACCAUCCUCCAAGGCUAAAUACUCCUGACUGACCGAUAGUGAACCAGUACCGUGAGGGAAAGGCGAAAAGAACCCCGGCGAGGGGAGUGAAAAAGAACCUGAAACCGUGUACGUACAAGCAGUGGGAGCACGCUUAGGCGUGUGACUGCGUACCUUUUGUAUAAUGGGUCAGCGACUUAUAUUCUGUAGCAAGGUUAACCGAAUAGGGGAGCCGAAGGGAAACCGAGUCUUAACUGGGCGUUAAGUUGCAGGGUAUAGACCCGAAACCCGGUGAUCUAGCCAUGGGCAGGUUGAAGGUUGGGUAACACUAACUGGAGGACCGAACCGACUAAUGUUGAAAAAUUAGCGGAUGACUUGUGGCUGGGGGUGAAAGGCCAAUCAAACCGGGAGAUAGCUGGUUCUCCCCGAAAGCUAUUUAGGUAGCGCCUCGUGAAUUCAUCUCCGGGGGUAGAGCACUGUUUCGGCAAGGGGGUCAUCCCGACUUACCAACCCGAUGCAAACUGCGAAUACCGGAGAAUGUUAUCACGGGAGACACACGGCGGGUGCUAACGUCCGUCGUGAAGAGGGAAACAACCCAGACCGCCAGCUAAGGUCCCAAAGUCAUGGUUAAGUGGGAAACGAUGUGGGAAGGCCCAGACAGCCAGGAUGUUGGCUUAGAAGCAGCCAUCAUUUAAAGAAAGCGUAAUAGCUCACUGGUCGAGUCGGCCUGCGCGGAAGAUGUAACGGGGCUAAACCAUGCACCGAAGCUGCGGCAGCGACACUAUGUGUUGUUGGGUAGGGGAGCGUUCUGUAAGCCUGUGAAGGUGUGCUGUGAGGCAUGCUGGAGGUAUCAGAAGUGCGAAUGCUGACAUAAGUAACGAUAAAGCGGGUGAAAAGCCCGCUCGCCGGAAGACCAAGGGUUCCUGUCCAACGUUAAUCGGGGCAGGGUGAGUCGACCCCUAAGGCGAGGCCGAAAGGCGUAGUCGAUGGGAAACAGGUUAAUAUUCCUGUACUUGGUGUUACUGCGAAGGGGGGACGGAGAAGGCUAUGUUGGCCGGGCGACGGUUGUCCCGGUUUAAGCGUGUAGGCUGGUUUUCCAGGCAAAUCCGGAAAAUCAAGGCUGAGGCGUGAUGACGAGGCACUACGGUGCUGAAGCAACAAAUGCCCUGCUUCCAGGAAAAGCCUCUAAGCAUCAGGUAACAUCAAAUCGUACCCCAAACCGACACAGGUGGUCAGGUAGAGAAUACCAAGGCGCUUGAGAGAACUCGGGUGAAGGAACUAGGCAAAAUGGUGCCGUAACUUCGGGAGAAGGCACGCUGAUAUGUAGGUGAAGUCCCUCGCGGAUGGAGCUGAAAUCAGUCGAAGAUACCAGCUGGCUGCAACUGUUUAUUAAAAACACAGCACUGUGCAAACACGAAAGUGGACGUAUACGGUGUGACGCCUGCCCGGUGCCGGAAGGUUAAUUGAUGGGGUCAGCGCAAGCGAAGCUCUUGAUCGAAGCCCCGGUAAACGGCGGCCGUAACUAUAACGGUCCUAAGGUAGCGAAAUUCCUUGUCGGGUAAGUUCCGACCUGCACGAAUGGCGUAAUGAUGGCCAGGCUGUCUCCACCCGAGACUCAGUGAAAUUGAACUCGCUGUGAAGAUGCAGUGUACCCGCGGCAAGACGGAAAGACCCCGUGAACCUUUACUAUAGCUUGACACUGAACAUUGAGCCUUGAUGUGUAGGAUAGGUGGGAGGCUUUGAAGUGUGGACGCCAGUCUGCAUGGAGCCGACCUUGAAAUACCACCCUU
rnacentral:rRNA from 1 species